GAGGCAGAGGACAGGCUGGGGUACCCUAACGGGUCCGCUCCUUCCCCCGCCCCAGGCACUGGGCCUCUUUGGUGGCACCCUGGGUGGCAGGCAAGCCUGGAAAUCAAGUGCACGGGACCUGGAAAGGAGAACCGGGAGAGUUAUGGGACUUAUGAAGGAAGAAGAGAAAGAGAAUCACUUGGAUGGGAAAAGUUAACUGGAUUGUUCCCACCUGCAUGGAUCAUCCAGGAGAACGUGGUUCCAAGAUGGUGGCCACUGAGUAAUUCUGGAGGUGACCUGUCUCUCAAUCCCCUGGCCGGCUGCCUUUCCUGCCCACCAACAGAGAAAGAGUGGUUUGUGCUUCCUACGAGAUGCUGAGAGAGGGAAGCAAGAAAAUGUCUCCAUGGACAUAGCAAUUUGGAGCGCUUAACCUUCAAUUAGAAACCCUGCUUCAGCAUCCUCCCCAGGAGAAAUGUCAGCAAGGAAUUCCUUACACACCUUCUCACAGAAAACACUGGGACGUGGGCUGCUUUAACUGUCCACUUCUAACCCUUGGACGUGUACAAACCCAGCAACUGAUAUUUGAGGUAAAAUGUACACCUCAAG
rnacentral:lncRNA from 1 species